GGGGCACCUAAAUCAGUCAUACUGAUUUACCUAUAGAGUAUGGGUUAGUUUGAAUCAAUAAGCAACCUAAUCAAAAGUUGCUUGACCAUAUUGACCAGGUAAAUGAGAUCGGUGGGAGGGUCUGUCAAAGCUUGCCUUAGUUACCAUCAAAAUGGCCAGAUAAGUGGGCUGCCAAUUAAAAACCAUCGAUCACAAUGUCAUAUUUAUCUUAGACACCAAUUG
rnacentral:lncRNA from 1 species